rnacentral:rRNA from 1 species
CGUAGGUGGGUAGGUAAGUCAGCGGUGAAAUCCCCGAGCUUAACUUGGGAACUGCCAUUGAUACUAUCUGUCUUGAAUACCUUGGAGGUGAGCGGAAUAUGUCAUGUAGCGGUGAAAUGCUUAGAUAUGACAUAGAACACCAAUUGCGAAGGCAGCUCACUACACGGUCAUUGACACUGAGGCACGAAAGCGUGGGGAUCAAACAGGAUUAGAUACCCUGGUAGUCCACGCCCUAAACGAUGGAUACUCGACAUCAGCGAUACACUGUUGGUGUCUGAGCGAAAGCAUUAAGUAUCCCACCUGGGAAGUACGACCGCAAGGUUGAAACUCAAAGGAAUUGG